rnacentral:rRNA from 1 species
UACGUAGGGUGCGAGCGUUAAUCGGAAUUACUGGGCGUAAAGCGUGCGCAGGCGGCGCGUUAAGACAGGUGUGAAAGCCCCGAGCUUAACUUGGGAAUUGCGCUUGUGACUGGCGUGCUGGAGUGUGGCAGAGGGAGGUGGAAUUCCACGUGUAGCAGUGAAAUGCGCAGAUAUCAGGAGGAACACCAAUGGCGAAGGCAGCUCGCUGGGACGUGACUGACGCUGAGACGCGAAACGUGGGGAGCAAACAGG